AAAAUUCAUAUGGCAGAAGGAGCAAAUGAUGUCAUUGACAAGGAAGCAAUUGAAUCCCUUUUUUCAUUCAAGUCCAAAGUAGAAAAGAAUAGUGGAAGAGAACCAAUUUGAUGUGGUGGUGAAGGUGCCAGGCUAAACCAGGAAAAUUUACUUGCGUAUUUGCACCUCCAGAUUUCAACUCUCUUUCUGUUACCUAAGAAACAAAUCAAAUAAGCAAAACAUAAAUAUCGGGCAGGAAUAUAGAAAUUACCAUGACAACAAGCACUUUUAAUAAUCAAGUAUUGCUCAAUGAAGAAUGGCCUUGUGAAGAAAGCAUCAAGUAGAUACUGAUGAAUAAGAGCAAGACCGAGGAUACGACCACUAAAUCGGAACCUGAACCAAAAACAAACAUAAUGAGUUUAAUUUACAGCUCCACAAUUUUCUGAUGGUCAUUCUUCCAAGUCCUAAUCAGGUCUGAUCUUGCUAACAUUUUGAGAUUGGCCACAUUCUGGUGAUUUUCUACAAAUGCUGACAUGGGGCUGAUCUGUACAGUGUAAGUAUCAUUGGCUGAAUACUCAAACAGGCCAUAAUAAGGAUUGAAAAGCUCCUGAGAAAGAAGGAAGAAGAAUUCCCGGGAUGGGCCACUGUAAUCCAAGCUGGAAAAAAAAAAUCCACAUGGAAUGGAUCUUACAUACCUGUUUCAUGACAAAUUGCUGGUUCUCCUCUUUAUCCAUGUUAAACUGUUAGACAUUUUUUUGAGGUUUUGUGAAUGGAUUUUAAUUUUGAUUGAGAAUUAAUGCUGCAAAUGUACCUCUUUCAAAUUGCUUUGAAAUCCAAAGUACCGUAUAUACUCGAAUAUAAGCCGAUCCGAGUAUAAGCCGAGGUCCCCAAUUUUACCCCAAAAACUGGGGUAAACUGGGGACUCGAGUAUAAGCCGAGGGUGGGAAAUGAGGCACCUACCGGUUGGGGAAACCCUCCCUCCCUCAGCUGAGAAGGCUGGCGGCUCCCCGCCCCGCCCUCUCACUGCACCGGCAGGGCUUCCGUCCGGUAAAAUGUGAAAAAAAGAAAAAAAAAAACUCGAGUAUAAGCCGUAUAUACUCGAGUAUAAGCCGAGGGGCUUUAAAAAAAAACAAAAACUCGAGUAUAAGCCGUAUAGACCCGAGUAUAAGCCGAGGGGAAGUUUUUCAGCACAAAAAACGUGCUGAAAAACUCGGCUUAUACUCGAGUAUAUACGGUAAAUAUAAAGUUAUUUAAAAUGCAACUUAAAAUUAAGUUGCAUUUCAUAUAUUCAUUUACCAAAUUACUAUUUUGAUUUUUUUUUUACCUUUACCUACUGGAAGGGUGUGGAGGGUCAGCAGAGAGAUACCGCUGUCCUCCAAAAUCUUUUUCCUAAUAGUCAUUGCAUUAUAACAAAAAAAAAACCUCUGAAAUUUAUGUAGCAGCAAAAAUAGUUUCCUAAAUAAAUAAAGAAAAAUUGUUAUAAACAUACAAAAAAUAAAUAUCACUCAACAUUUGUUGUUUUUACUUUGGAGAUAUUAUUUUGAAUUCUUGCAUAAUUUAUUGCU